rnacentral:lncRNA from 1 species
AUGAGGCCGGGAUCCACGUCCCGCCGCCGAGGCCAAAGCACGUUCCAAACUGCUUGGGAGGUUCCAGAAGCUAGAAGGGGGUCGAGGAAGGAUUCCCCCUACAUGUCAGAGGGAGCGUGGCCCUGCCCACACCCGGGAUUGAGGACUUCCGGCCUCCAGAACGGUGGUCAAGUACGGUGGCCCGGGGGGGGGGGGGAACCAACACCAUUGUUGGGCGCCAGUGCCCAAGGACGUCUGAAGGCAGAAGAACAAUCUCACCCGUUUACCUGUUGGAUCCCGUGGGGGACGGGGGUUCCCUUCGUCACACGGAAACACAUAAACCCAGGAGAAUUAACAAAUGACUCCGAAAGCCCCAAACAACAUCAUCCUCUCUUGAAGACCUGUCUUCUGUGCUGUGGCCGCGUGGCCCUCCGGUGAUUUGAAGAAAGCCACUCUCUCCCAAAUUAGAACAAGGGUCAGAGGGAAGGCUUCACACCUGUCCGGCAGCUGUGGUGAGCCCAGAAGCUAGGGGUGAGGUGGUCCGUGACGCAAAGAGGCUGCACUCCCAGCGACAGGUAAGGGCACAACUUCCCAGCUCUUGUGACUAGCUCUGACACACCUGCUGGGCACCUGUUGGUGCAUAUGGUUCACUCUGGCCAUCGGCCCUUGGUGGGUGCGACUGGUCCAGCCCCAUGUGUAUUCCAGAGAACCUUCAGUGUCUCUUAUUGCAAAAAUUAAUACUACCGUGAGUCCCACUUUAACAAGAAAGGCCCGUUUGUCAGGGCAAUGGUCACCAUUUCAAAAUAUUUUCUAGAAACAUAUCGCAAGAGUGUGGAUCGAGCCUGGAUAAGGAAGAGUCUGUUGAAAAGUUGACUUUUAAUGGUAUUCUACUUUAUAUUGUUCAAAAGGAUUUUAUCUCCUAAUUCUGCAGAGUGCAUUGUGUAAGAUUAGCCAAUGACUUCCGAGCACGGACAGCAUCACAAAAGAAGAGCGUUAACCGAUUUCAAAGUGUUCGGAGGAAAACAUUUUCUGUUUGGGACAAUAGAGCUUUCAAGCACUUAAUAAAUAUUAUCUCCCCCAGCA